GAGAAGGGGAAUGAAGAAACAUCAACAUGAAGCUAACUUCAUGUUUGACUGACAGCAUUGAGGAGGAAUUGAAGAAGACCUUCCCAAAUGAAGGAGAAAGAGAACCAUUCAACGGGGUCAUCAAUACAUUUCCACUUGGCACAGAGGAGGAGAUGAGGAAGAAGGAGUGCGGAAAUGUCAAACUGCAGCUGACAUUUCUCAAGAGGAAGAAAAGAUGAAAACAAACCUCAAGAAACUCCUCCGUGAGCGUAAGAGAAGGAUCUCCAGCAGCCUGACAACAACAAUGGAGGAGACCAUGAAAGAAUGCUCUGACAGGAAGACAGAAGAUCACUACAGACAUAGAAAUACACCUCUACACAUUUUGAUGUCAACAUGUUUCUGUUUGAUGUAGGAGCAAAAGAAAUGAAAGGAGAAGGCACGCUGAAAAACAUGAGGGGAACGAUUGAAAUGCACGUUCAUGGUUCAAAAGACGUCAUGUUUGAUAAGGCUGAAGACGCCAUGAUGAAACAGCUGAGAGACCUGAUGCUUUGUCACAUUUGAUAUUUCCUCCUGCAGUCAAAUGAAACUAGGAACACUGCAACACAAACAUACAUGUGCACACAUGUCAGUGUUCAGUGAUCAAUAUUUCAAUGCUGAUUUAGUGGGAGAUCCCGGAGAAAGUGGAGAGCACGAUGCAGGAAUCAA